UACGUAGGUGGCAAGCGUUAUCCGGAUUUACUGGGUGUAAAGGGCGAGUAGGCGGGAUUGCAAGUCAGAUGUGAAAACUAUGGGCUCAACCGAUAGAGUGCAUUUGAAACUGCAGUUCUUGAGUGAUGGAGAGGCAGGCGGAAUUCCCGGUGUAGCGGUGGAAUGCGUAGAUAUCGGGAGGAACACCAGUGGCGAAGGCGGCCUGCUGGACAUUAACUGACGCUGAGGCGCGAAAGCGUGGGGAUCAAACAGG
rnacentral:rRNA from 1 species